UACGUAGGGUGCAAGUGUUGUCCGGAAUUAUUGGGCGUAAAGAGCUCGUAGGCGGUCUGUCGCGUCGGCUGUGAAAACCCGGGGCUCAACCCCGGGCCUGCAGUCGAUACGGGCAGACUAGAGUGUGGUAGGGGAGACUGGAAUUCCUGGUGUAGCGGUGAAAUGCGCAGAUAUCAGGAAGAACACCCGUGGCGAAGGCGGCUCUCUGGGACGGUACUGACGCUGAGACGCGAAAGCGUGGGGAGCGAACAGG
rnacentral:rRNA from 1 species